rnacentral:rRNA from 1 species
UACGAAGGGGGCUAGCGUUGUUCGGAUUUACUGGGCGUAAAGCGCGCGUAGGCGGCUUUGUAAGUUAGAGGUGAAAGCCCGGAGCUCAACUCCGGAACUGCCUUUAAAACUGCAUCGCUUGAAUCCAGGAGAGGUGAGUGGAAUUCCGAGUGUAGAGGUGAAAUUCGUAGAUAUUCGGAAGAACACCAGUGGCGAAGGCGGCUCACUGGAGCUGGUAUUGACGCUGAGGUGCGAAAGCGUGGGGAGCAAACAGG